CAAGCAAUGGCAUUUUGAUUCAUGGAGUACAAGAGUUACCAAACUUUUUUUUUUGUUUGAGAUGGAGUAUCGCUCUGUCGCCAGGCCGGAGUGCAGUGGUGUGAUCUUGGCUCACUGCAGCCUCUGUCUCCUGGGUUUGAGCGAUUAUCCUGUCUCAGCCUCCCGAGUAGCUGGGACUACAGGUGUGUGCUACCAUGCCCAGCUAAUUUUUGUAUUUUUAGUAGAGACGGGGUUUCACCAUCUUAGCCAGAAUGGUCUCAGUCUCUUGACCUCGUGAUCCGCCCACCUUGGCCUCCCAAAGUGCUGGUAUUACAGGCAUGAGCCACCGCGUGCGGCCCAAACUUUUUCAUAAUUGGGAAGUUUACCUGAAAACCUGGCUUCUCUGGGGAAAUUGACAGACCUGUAAGAGUGGGUAGGCGUUCCUACAGCAGCUUUCUGUGGCUGGUGGGUGGUGGCUGCCCCUUUAGUUGGAACAGGAACCCUCCAGCCGGCUCCAUUCCCCACCUGGCCGACUCCAGAUUAAGUGGGAAGUCUCCGAGCAGGAUCCACCUUCCCUGAAGCAUGACUUCUCCCCCCCCAGAGGAUCAUGGGUAUAUGAUCACUGAUUUCCUUUCUGUGCAGAUGCUCCUGGAGAGGUGGUACCCUCUGGGGAAUCAGGACUCCGAAGGAGAGGCUCUGACCCAGCAAGUGGAGAAGUGGAGGCCUCUCAGUUAAGAAGACUGAAUAUAAAGAAAGAUGGUAAGGAACUUGGUGUAGCAGAGCUGCUUUUUCCUGUCUGGCUAGAUUUCUAGGGGUGAAAUGCAGCUGGUGGCCUAGCACAGCAGUAAUCAUAGCCCACCUCUGUCGUGUGCCCUGCAGUUUACACAUUACUCAGCUCAGAAUCACCUCAACAGGGUGGGACAAUGGUUCCCAUUUUGCAGAUAUGAA
rnacentral:lncRNA from 1 species